CCUACGGGAGGCAGCAGUGAGGAAUAUUGGCAAGGGACGGAAGGCGGAACCAGGCAAGGCGGGGGAAGGAAGAAGGAUCUACGGGUUGUAAACUUCUUUUAUAGGGGAAUAAAGGUAUCCACGUGUGGAUAUUUGCAUGUACCCUAUGAAUAAGCAUCGGCUAACUCCGUGCCAGCAGCCGCGGUAAUACGGAGGAUGCGAGCGUUAUACGGAUUUAUUGGGGUUAAAGGGUGCGUAGGUUGGUUUUUAAGUCAGCGGUGAAAGUUUGGGGCUCAACCAUAAAAUUGCCGUUGAAACUGGAAGACUUGAGUGUGUUUGAGGUAGGCGGAAUGCGUGGUGUAGCGGUGAAAUGCAUAGAGAUCACGCAGAACUCCGAUUGCGAAGGCAGCUUACUAAGCCAUAACUGACACUGAAGCACGAAAGCGUGGGGAUCAAACAGGAUUAGAUACCCCAGUAGUC
rnacentral:rRNA from 1 species